GACGAACGCUGGCGGCGUGCUUCACACAUGCAAGUCGAACGGAAAGGCCCUGCUUUUGUGGGGUGCUCGAGUGGCGAACGGGUGAGUAACACGUGAGUAACCUGCCCUUGACUUUGGGAUAACUUCAGGAAACUGGGGCUAAUACCGGAUAGGAGCUCCUGCUGCAUGGUGGGGGUUGGAAAGUUUCGGCGGUUGGGGAUGGACUCGCGGCUUAUCAGCUUGUUGGUGGGGUAGUGGCUUACCAAGGCUUUGACGGGUAGCCGGCCUGAGAGGGUGACCGGCCACAUUGGGACUGAGAUACGGCUCAGACUCCUACGGGAGGCAGCAGUGGGGAAUAUUGCACAAUGGGCGGAAGCCUGAUGCAGCAACGCCGCGUGCGGGAUAACGGCCUUCGGGUUGUAAACCGCUUUCGCCUGUGACGAAGCGUGAGUGACGGUAAUGGGUAAAGAAGCACCGGCUAACUACGUG
rnacentral:rRNA from 1 species